UACGUAGGGGGCAAGCGUUGUCCGGAAUUAUUGGGCGUAAAGAGCGUGUAGGCGGUCCGGUAAGUCAGCUGUGAAAGUCAAGGGCUCAACCCUUGAAAGCCGGUUGAUACUGUCGGGCUAGAGUCCGGAAGAGGCGAGUGGAAUUCCCGGUGUAGCGGUGAAAUGCGCAGAUAUCGGGAGGAACACCAAUUGCGAAGGCAGCUCGUUACACGAAUAUUGACUCUGAGGCUCGAAAGCGUGGGGAUCAAACAGG
rnacentral:rRNA from 1 species